AUUGAACGCUGGCGGCAGGCCUAACACAUGCAAGUCGAGCGAGCGGCGGACGGGUGAGUAAUGUAUGGGGAUCUGCCUGAUAGAGGGGGAUGACUAGUGGAAACGGUGGCUAAUACCGCAUAAUAACGGCUGCAGCCACAUGGAAUUAGCUAGUAGGUGGGGUAAAGGCUCACUUAGGCGACGAUGUCUAGCUGGCCUGAGAGGAUGAUCAGCCACACUGGGACGGAGACACGGCCCAGACUCCGACGGGAGUCAGCAGUAGUGAAUAUUGGACAAUGGACGAAAGUCUGAUCCAGCCAUGCCGCGUGUGUGAAGAAGGCCGUAGGGUCGUAAAGUUCUUUAAGCGGUGAGGCGUUACCCGCAGAAGAAGCACCGGCUAACUCCGUGCCAGCAGCCGCGGUAAUUC
rnacentral:rRNA from 1 species